rnacentral:rRNA from 1 species
AUUUGACGUUACCUACAGAAGAAGACACCGGCUAACUCCGUGCCAGCAGCCGCGGUAAUACGGAGGGUGCGAGCGUUAAUCGGAAUUACUGGGCGUAAAGCGCAUGCAGGCGGCCUGUUAAGUCAGAUGUGAAAGACCCGGGGCGUUAACCUCGGAAUUGCAUUUGUAAACUAGGCAGGCUAGAGUCUUGUAGAGGGGGGUAGGAAUUUACAGGUGUAGCGGUGAAAUAGCGUAGAGAUCUGAAGGAAUACCAGUGGCGAAGGCGGCCCCCUCGGACAAAGACUGACGCUCAGAUGCGAAAGCGUGGGGAGCAAACAGGAUUAGAUACCCUGGUAG